rnacentral:rRNA from 1 species
AGAGUUUGAUUAUGGCUCAGGAUGAACGCUAGCUACAGGCUUAACACAUGCAAGUCGAGGGGCAUCAGGGUCUGUGCUUGCACAGAUUGCUGGCGACCGGCGCACGGGUGAGUAACGCGUAUCCAACCUUCCCCUUAGUAGAGGAUAGCCCGGCGAAAGUCGGAUUAAUACUCUAUGUUGUUCAAUGCGGACAUCUAAGUUGAACCAAAGGUUUACCGCUAAGGGAUGGGGAUGCGUCUGAUUAGGUAGUAGGCGGGGUAACGGCCCACCUAGCCGACGAUCAGUAGGGGUUCUGAGAGGAAGGUCCCCCACAUUGGAACUGAGACACGGUCCAAACUCCUACGGGAGGCAGCAGUGAGGAAUAUUGGUCAAUGGACGAGAGUCUGAACCAGCCAAGUAGCGUGCCAGGAUGACGGCCCUAUGGGUUGUAAACUGCUUUUAUGCGGGGAUAAAGUGAGGGACGUGUCCCUUAUUGUAGGUACCGCAUGAAUAAGGACCGGCUAAUUCCGUGCCAGCAGCCGC